UUACUAGAAUGGGGCUUACUAUGGGGCAGGUACCCAUAGGGGUGGCUUCCUGGCCCAGCAAUUCCCUCUCCUAGCCAUCACAGGCAGAGGCAGGCUGGGUCUGGAUUUCCCUUUCCAGUGAGUUUGGGAUCCAGGUUCAUGGAGCCUGGGACUUGCAUGGAGCCCCCGCCAGGCAGGUGCCCUGAGAGAAGGGCAGGAACUUCUCGCUUCGCUGAUCCACCCAGAGCCUCCGUGUUUCCUGCUUCCUUCAGGCAGGUGUUAGGGGGAGCCCUACCUUCCACCCAGGAUGCCCAGAUCGGGAGGAUCCAGGUCGGGAAGGUCUGGAGGACAUUUGGACACAGACACAGGCCAUGUGAGCAUGAAGGCAGAGACUGGGAGAUGCAUCUAGAAGCCAAGGAACGUGGAAGAUGGCCAGCAAACUGCCAGACACAGAGGGAGAGGCCUGGAGCAGUCUCCCUUAUAGCCCCAGGAGGAACCAACCCUGCUUGCACGUUGCUGUUGGACUUCUGGCCUCCAGAACUGGGAGACAACACGUUUUGGUGGCUUAAGCCACCAACGAUAUUCAUGCAGCCCCUGUGGAGGUCAAGGGAUUUGUUCCAGAGCUCUGGGCAAGUCACUUUGCUUUUUGAGGCUUCCUAGCCUGUAAAGUGGGGAGUGGCAGCUGUCUGCAGCUGUCAUGAUCAAAUGAGAUAAAGAAGUCUGAAGAGAGGGGAAGGGCAGGAAUUGGAGGCGGAGACGCUGACCUCCAUUUCUGCCCUGCUUCUGCCACUCCCUAGCUCAUGGCCACUUGCCCGCUACUUAAUAAUAGUAUUUACCUCCCAGGAUGGUUUGGGACCAGCGGCGUUAUUUGAUAGAAAUCACCUGGAGAGCAGCAGCGCUCCCCAGAGUUUUGCAGUUCUUGUUCAUGACAGAGCCCAGCGGAGGGUCCAAGCGUGAGGGAGGAAUGUCAAGGGCAGUGUGGCGGGCACAGGAGCUGGAGGGAGCUUGGGGUUUGGUGGUUGACCUUUGACCUUCUCCAACAGAGAUGCAAAUGUUACAGAUGGGGUCUGGGGACAGCCAAGCGGGGACAGGUGGACUGGAGUUGAGUGUGCUCUGGUUUGGAAGUGAGACCUUGACUUGUGGUGGCCUCACCCUGUUUGGGUGACAUCUCUGUUCAGAGCUAAGCCCCAGGGACACACGACAAGGAAGACAGAUGGGGGUGGUGGCAGUUGGGAGCCUCGGCGAGAUUCUAUCUGGUGCUGGGCUGGAGCCGGGGAAUGGGACCUUCUUCUGACAGCUCACUGGCUGCUUCCGAUGGAAAAGAAGCUGAUCUGGGCUUGGCCUGUCCUUGAAAGAUGGAACUGUCCAUAAGUUGGGGGUCUACGGUGUGUCCGGUCUGGGGACAGAGAUGGGACCCCCCAGAGACACCGAAUGCAGGAUUCUUUCGACAUCUCCAAGAGGUGCUGCUGUCAUGACCCCCGUGUGCCCGGGAGGAAAGAGAAGCUGGUGGACUUGGGGGACCACCCGAGUCUUGUGGGAACAGCGGUGCGCUGACCACCCAUCUGAGGGCUAGGUGCAGACUGGCCUAAGGCGGGGGGAGGCUCCAGGAUGACGGUCACUUGUCAUUUCUCCGUCGGAGGCUCGGGGCUUGCGGCCUCUGCUUCACAGCCGCUGCCACAAGCAGGACGCUUCAGAGGCCCAGGCCCUACCUCUGCGCCCACCUGCCACUUUCAAAAGAAAUCUAGAGUGAAAGGAAGAGAGUUUCUAUUUUUGAUGAGACACCAGUGAAAUGGAGGCUUUUUAAAUAAUUAAAAUCCAGAAUACAUUAUUUAUUCAGGUCA